rnacentral:misc_RNA from 1 species
AAUUUUUGUAAAAUUUUUGCAAGUAAGAAUUUUUUCAACUAGGAUGAUCAAUAUUUAUACAAGAAGUAGUUUUUAUUUUAAUUACUUACCGCCCUAGGGCUUUUUUAGCUACAUUAUUACCCUAGAGCGCUAAUUAGUCACCUACAAGUCCCAUCUAGAGGUAAUAAGAACCUAUUUACCGAACAUGAGAGAUGUAAAAAUUGUUGGUAACAUAAAACGAUUAUAA